rnacentral:rRNA from 1 species
UGGCCGGUACAAAGAGAAGCGAGGCUGUGAAGCGGAGCAAAUCUCAAAAACCGGUCCCAGUUCGGAUUGUAGGCUGCAACUCGCCUACAUGAAGUCGGAGUUGCUAGUAAUCGCGGAUCAGAAUGCCGCGGUGAAUGCGUUCCCGGGUCUUGUACACACCGCCCGUCACACCAUGGAAGUUGGGGCGCCCGAAGUUGCCUAAGAAAUAAGGUACCUAAGGCGAAACCAAUGACUGGGGUGAAGUCGUAACAAGGUAGC